rnacentral:rRNA from 1 species
GACGAACGCUGGCGGCGUGCUUAACACAUGCAAGUCGAACGGAAAGGCCCUGCUUUUGUGGUGUUCUCGAGUGGCGAACGGGUGAGUAACACGUGAGUAACCUGCUCUUGAUUUUGGGAUAACUUCAGGAAACUGGGGCUAAGACCGUAUAGGAGCUCCUGCUGCAUGGUGGGGGGUGGAAAUUCUCGGCGGUUGGGGAUGGAUGCGCGGCUGAUCAGCUUGUUGGUUGGGUAGUGGCUUACCAAGGGUUUGACGGGUAGCCGGCCUGAGAGGGUGACCGGCGACCUUGCGCCUGAGGUACGGACCAGACUCCUACGGGAGGCAGUAGUCGCGAAUAUUGCACAAUCGGCGGAAGCCUGAUGCAGCAACCCCGCGUGCGGGAUGACGGCCUUCGGGUUGUAAACAGCUUUCGCCUGUGACGAAGCGUGAGUGACGGUAAUGGGUAAAGAAGCACCGGCUAACUACGUG